UGGGGAAUCUUGGACAAUGGGCGAAAGCCUGAUCCAGCAAUGCCGCGUGAGUGAUGAAGGCCUUAGGGUUGUAAAGCUCUUUUACCAGGGAUGAUAAUGACAGUACCUGGAGAAUAAGCUCCGGCUAACUCCGUGCCAGCAGCCGCGGUAAUACGGAGGGAGCUAGCGUUGUUCGGAAUUACUGGGCGUAAAGCGUACGUAGGCGGUGACUCAAGUCAGAGGUGAAAGCCUGGAGCUCAACUCCAGAACUGCCUUUGAAACUAGGUCGCUAGAAUCACGGAGAGGUGAGUGGAAUUCCGAGUGUAGAGGUGAAAUUCGUAGAUAUUCGGAAGAACACCAGUGGCGAAGGCGGCUCACUGGACGUGUAUUGACGCUGAGGUACGAAAGCGUGGGGAGCAAACAGGAUUAGAUACCCAAGUAGUCCCUGAGCGGGCUGGCAAGGCGCAU
rnacentral:rRNA from 1 species